rnacentral:tRNA from 1 species
UGCGGGGUGGAGCAGUUCGGUAGCUCGUCAGGCU